rnacentral:lncRNA from 1 species
CGCCUUUAAUCCCAGCACUUGGGAGGCAGAGGCAGGCAGAUUUCUGAGUUCAAGGCCAGCCUGGUCUACAGAGUGAGUUUCAGGACAGCCAUGGCUACAAAGAAAAACCCUGUCUUGAAAAACCAAGCAAACAAACAAACCCCAUUAUUUACUUAGAAAUCCAACUUCUUCAUAUUUAGUUCCUGUUUAGGACAAGGAGGCUUCAAUUGUGGGUCAUUGGCUCUGGGCUGCCUGACCAAUCCCAGCACUAAGUACUUUUGUCUUCUGGUGAACUCACCUAGACAUAUGAAGCCGCUGAUGCUGACAGCUAGCACAGUUCCCACUUCAGAGAAUAUGAUGAACACAGCUCAGAUGAAUACAGCAAAAAUUAGUUCCAGGUAAUCAUCUUAAAACAACUUGACUUCCCUUCCUGGGAGAAUUAGAGCUGGAAGGGCAGAAGCAUGGAGCUGUGGAGGUCAUUCACAGCAAAGCCAGUAAGUAUGCAAAGAGCAGAGUCUAGGAUGGGCAGGUACAUGGUUCAACCACCCUAACCCUGGGACCCUCACAAACACUCACAUAGCUGUUUUCCAACACACAUGGGCUAUGUGCAUAUCUCAGUCUUAAAGUGCCAGACCAGGCAGUGAUUUUUAAAAAGUCUGACAUGCUGGAUUGUUUCAUACUCGUUGAUAGGAAAUGAGAAAGAAGACAAUGGACUCUACAUAGAAAACAUCUAUCUACAAACAUGAGUAAGUGUUUCAAUAAUUGCUGAAGAACAACAAGCCAAUGAAUGCUGCAGGCGAACUGACCUGGGAAAGCUUCCUCUUGGCCAACAUGGAAAUAGGAGGUUCAGAUUGGUGGAGGAAAAGAGGGACACCUCACACUUGCCCAGCAUGAUCAGCAGUAAAAAACACCAUAUGGAGAAGUUCAUGAUCAGGGGAGAGGAAGCCUCCUAAUUAGAAUGAAACCUCUUCUACACAUCUGUUUUGCAACCCUGAAUAACAUCCUUUGGUCUUCUACAAUAGAGGAGUCAGUGAGCUCUGAGGUAUGUUGUCCUAUGCUUUGGGUAAAAGUAUUGUUAGAAAGAGACUGGGUGGCCCAGCCUCAUUAGUGUGGCUGUCCCAGAAGCUCCAAGUCCAGGCUAAGAAAAGUGGUCCCUUUGCUUGGUUUAGGUAAUUCCCUGGCUAUUACCAGAGGCUAUGUGAUCCUGAGACCCACGGAUGUGCUAAGAGGACUUUUGGAUUCCAGCCCAGUGUUUUUUAAAAAAAUAUAUGUUUUAAUGCUUUAUAUGGCCCCUACUGCCAAGUCCAAACAAAAUAAAAGCAAGCACAGAAAAUAGAGCCAGAGAAAGAAGAAAAGGGGAGUAAACAAGAAGAGGGAGAAAAGAGAUAAGAGAAAGAACUGAGGGAUAGAAAAAAGGAAAAGUGGGAGGAAAGGGGAAGAAGGGGGAGGAAGGAAGAGAUGGAGAGGAAAGGAAGAAGAAAGGGAGGGAGGAGACUAGGGAGGAGGAUGGGAGGUGAAGGAGGGCAGGAUGCGAGGAGUCCAGGAGGGUAAAGGAUUUGAUUCAAGAGAAACAGAUGGCUGAUCUGGAGGGGGAGGGGAGGCUGUCUGCAGGCACUCAUCUGAACAAAAUCCAACUUCCUACAGGCAGCUGCCUGGAGCCCUAUCCAUCAUCCACAUUCAGGUUCCCACGAUCAAUGCCACAGUCAGUCAUUGGCCAUCCUUGAAACACCAGAAUCAUUAUGAACAAACACCAGAGACUCACAGAUUGAAUUCCUCUUACUGCUCCAGAGGCCAGCAAUGCCAAACAUACAGGAUGCACAAAAAUUGCUUUAUGAGAA